rnacentral:rRNA from 1 species
AGUGAACGCUGGCGGCAGGCCUAACACAUGCAAGUCGAACGGCAGCACAGUAAGAGCUUGCUCUUACGGGUGUCGAGUGUCGGAAGGGUGCGGAAUACUUCGGAAUCUACUUUUUCGUGGGUGCUAAUGCAGGGAAACUUACGCUAAUACCGCAUACGACCUACGGGUGAAAGCAGGGGAUCUUCGGACCUUGUGCGAUUGAAUAAGCCGAUGUAGGAUUAGCUAGGUGGCGGGGUAAAGGCCCACCAAGGCGACAAUCCGAAGGUGGUCUGAGGGGGUGAACACACACACUGGAACUGAGAAACGGUCCCCACUCUUAGAGGGGGCAGCGGUGGGGAAUAUUACACAAUGGGCGCGAGCCUGAUCCAGCCCUAUCGGGUGAGUGAAGAAGGCCUACGGGUUGUAAAGCGCUUUUGUUGUGAGGGAUAAGCAGCUGUUUAAUACGCCACUGUUCUGACGGUACCCGAAGAAUAAGCUCCGGCUAACUUCGUG